GGGGGUUUAGCUCAGCGGCACAGCACCUGUCUGGCAUGCGCAAGGUCUUGAGUUCUAGUCUCAAUACCCUCC
rnacentral:tRNA from 1 species